AGAAAAACGCCACACCUAGCCCACUCGUCCACCUCCUCCUCCCCGACCCCGAUCCAGCGUCGUCGAGCUCUCGCCCCCUGCCACAACCGCCGCGCCGCCGGCCCGCUUCCGACCACCGCCGCAGCACCAUCCCACCUGACGCGCCGCCGUCCCGGCUCCUCGCCGCCUCCCCUCGACGCGCCUCCAUCCACACUUGCCCCAUCCACCCACUACCCCGCGUAGCGGCGGGCACCACGACCCCCGUAACCCACCCCCGCCGGCGUUGGCUAGCUCCCACCCACACCGCCGCCUGCAACCAGCCGAGCCCCAGCUGUCCGCAGCCCUGAACUUCCUCUCGGACCCUCCCGAUCUGUGCCACUUGCGUCGCUGUGUUGCAGCGCAUCCCAGCCCACGCGACCUACGCCGGUGCGUGUCGCCGCACCUCCUGCCUUCACGCCAUCGUCACGCGUCCUCCCUAGCCACCGUGCGGCCCCGUGCCACCAGCAAUCCACCUUCCCUCACACCGAACUGGAUCCGGCGAGGUCAACGCUCCCUGACACGCCUCCACUGCCGCCAACCACCACUCGCCUCUGUCGAUUUGGCUGCUACCUCCCGCCGCCAGCCUUUAUGCCCUCGUGGCUGUCCCCGGCGAGGCUCCCCCGCCACCAACACUGCCCCUCCUAGCUUCUCCCCCAUCUCCUUCCAUCUUCCGCUGCGCGUGAUGGACGCCGUGGCAGGGAACGUGAGCUCGCUGGAUUCCUUGCCCGUACAUUUAUUUGAACUAGCGAUUCCUUGCCCGUAUAGCCGCAGUGUCCAGGACAUUCAACUUCGCCGCCUCAUGCCGUGCAACUUCGCCGCGUCUUGCAACUUGCUCCGCUUCGAGGCGCCAUGCUUGUGGCAGUGGCCUCAUUUGAUGUCUGAAGUUGGAUCCUUCCAACCUGUCUUAAAAAAUGUGUGGCCAUCCGGUCGCGAGAGAUGUGUGGAGCGCUGCAGUCUGCUCGUCGUUGACCCCGUGUUUGCCAACGACCGAGAUUAUUGUUGCGUGUGGACUGCAGCGACGACCGAAUCCGACCUUCACCAGCAUCACCAUUCUUCCUUCUCCUGUUCACCAACGUGCACCGCCAUCCGCUUGUGACGUUCCACCCGCUAAUGUAAAAGA